AAUGAACGUUGGCGGCGUGGAUUAGGCAUGCAAGUCGUACGGGUCGGUGUAGCAAUACAACGGCAAGUGGCGAAAGGGAGAGUAACGCGUAGAUACCUACCCUCUGGUCGGGGAUACCGCGGCAUAACCGCAAGUAAUACCCGAUAAUAUCUCCGGAUCAAAGGUGUGAUUCCGCCGGAGGAGGGGUCUGCGUUUCAUCAGCUAGUUGGUGAGGUAACGGCUCACCAAGGCUAAGACGAAUACGGGGUGUGAGAGCAUGCCCCCGCUCACUGGGACUGAGGCACUGCCCAGACACCUACGGGUGGCUGCAGUCGAGAAUCUUCGGCAAUGGGCGCAAGCCUGACCGAGCGACGCCGCGUGCGGGAUGAAGGCCUUCGGGUUGUAAACCGCUGUCGAGGGGGAUAAAGUGCAGGUGGGUUCUCCCAUUUGUUUGAUAGAUCCCUGGAGGAAGCAUGGGCUAAGUUCGUGCCAGCCGCCGCCGUAA
rnacentral:rRNA from 1 species